rnacentral:rRNA from 1 species
UAGGGAAUAUUGCACAAUGGAGGAAACUCUGAUGCAGCGACGCCGCGUGAGUGAUGAAGGCCUUCGGGUCGUAAAGCUCUGUCGCAAGGGAAUAAGAAAGUGAAUGUACCUUGCAAGAAAGGAUCGGCUAACUUCGUGCCAGCAGCCGCGGUAAGACGAGGGAUCCUAGCGUUGUUCGGAAUUAUUGGGCGUAAAGCGGAUGUAGGUGGCUAUAUAAGUCAGAUGUGAAAGCCCAGGGCUUAACCCUGGAAGUGCAUUUGAUACUGUGUAGCUUGAGUGUGGGAGAGGAUAGUAGAAUUCCUGGUGUAGUGGUGAAAUACGUAGAUAUCAGGAGGAAUACCGGAGGCGAAGGCGGCUAUCUGGCCCAACACUGACACUGAGAUCCGAAAGCGUGGGGAUC